GCGGGGACAGCGGGCCCGGCGGGCGGGGACAGCGGACCCGGCGGGCGGUCAGCGCAGCCCGUACGAAGAAACUCCAGUAAAAGAGUAAUGCGUUUUACCCGGGUCUUAGGCUGCUGCAGAGUUGUGCUCCAAGUGUAUGGCUGAAGGGGGCUGCUGGCGAGACUGUCACAGUCUGUAAUCACACUGGCCUCCGGAGGAAAGACGCUCUUUGGUCGCUGCAGCAGGAGAGCCCCUGCCCUGCGUGAGGCAGUGUGGAAAGCGCCAUCCCCUCGGGGAGUCCCGCCGCCCUGCGGAAACCGCUCCAGGAGCUGCACAAGGGCACCGCGAGUGAAAUCCAUCCUGGCCGGGACAGGGCCCUCCCCUUCCCGACAGCAUCGCCAACCCAUGUGCGAGUAACUAGCGGGGGUACCGAGAGGGUCUGGGCGAGGACCUGUGUGUCACCUGCGCCAGGGCCGUGGCAGAUGUCCCUCUCCAUCGCUGCCACCCUUUGGGCAAGUGCUGAGCAGGAGGGCCAGAGACCGACAGGGCUGCAAUGACAUUUUGUCCAGCCACACCCAUGUUGGGAGUUUCACGCGGGGCCGAUCCAGGUGUCAGUGUGGCAGGAGGUAAUGCAUCCUCAGCGAUGAGAGUGGCUGGGCUCAGCUGCAGGGACUUACCUUGUCCAAAGAGAGCGAGGAGAGCCAGCGCACCACAAGCAGUUUCUCACUGGGCUGAUUCCAGCUAGAGGCAGCAACCCACCCUUCUGUGAAAGGAGUGUUGGCUGUAACAAAUCUAUAUUGCUUAUUUGAGGAGUCUGCUGCAGAAAGCUUUUUCUGGUUUUCCUUUGCCUAUUGGAACCACAAAUCUUCAUUUUAUGUAACCUGUCACAAGAUGACUUUUGACUUCCCCUUUGUAGGCCCUUGCUUGUUUCUUGCUGUUGCUUAAGAGCUCAGAAUAAAAACCAUUCUUUUUCCUACUCAGCAGCUGUGUUCCCUGAGAACAGUUCAGGGCUCCGCCACUUUCUGCUGAGCCAAACUGUAGCACCGGCUUCAGUGCAGCUAUGGGUACAUUAGGAGUGGUCUGGCUUCACAGCACAUGAAGACUAAAGGAGAAAGUUACAAUAGCAAAGAAUAUAGUAACAGUUAUAACAGUUAUGAAUGAAUUAUGAUAAUGAGAAGUGAGGAAGGAGGGAAGAAGGUAGACCUGGUUUUGUACUAACUUCCCACUGUCCAAUGAUAACUCCUGUGUGUAAAUCUUGUAACUAAAGGAAAUGAGAAAACUGACUGGUUUAGUACAAGCAGACAAGAUGGAUCCAGUUUAUGCAUACGAUGGGAUGUGUGUGCUCCAAUGAAACAAAACCUAGGAAGAGUUACAAAACAUAGCACAGACAUGAGUUACCGCCUCGUGAUAGACUGCCCAGUAGACUGCUGAGAACAGAAACAGAAAAACCAGCUCAGAUCCUUCAUAAAACUAUUGGCAUCAGUGUAUAAAUCAAGAUAAUGAUGAUCAGUGGUGACGAUCAUUUGUGAGUUCUGUCUUAGUAUAUGGACUUGCUCUCCCAAAAGUCCAAGAAGAAGGCAAAGAUGGAGCAGGAAUAACAGUCUUGUUAAAGGGAAGGUGUUUUAAAGUCCUGCCUAGUGAAGCUGUUUUUAGCUCAUCUUGCAAGUAGGGUUUUUAUAUUGUAACAACUAAUCUUUAUGGUUAAAUUUCUUCAAUCUGCAGUUACCACAAAAGGGCUAGUAGCAAAAGAAAUAAAAUAAGCACAAUAGCAAAGAGAAAUUAUCUUUUUUGAGAUUGAGCUGAAACGUCAAAGACUUAGGGUCUACAGUGCGCUGGUAAGAUACACCGUUGUGUGAACUUUCCCUCCCAGAGGCAUCCAUCCCUAUUAUCACAGCCUGGUGAUGGUUCUGUGUCAACUCUGCAUCUGCAUCAGUAACUCAUUCUGUUCAGCCAUCUGUUCCACAGACAUCAAACUGUUAAGAAGCCCCAGUAUGGCACAAUCUAGUCCAGUAACACAGAAACAGAAAAGAAAAGAUCUCAUUACCAUUUGAAUUCACAGGCUCUCCUCUGAUACACAUACAAUAUUUUCUUAUAUUGACAUGAACAUGGUAAUUUGCAUUCCACCGUGGUUUCUUUGCUACCCUCUAGACUUCCACCCCUGCCUGGAAAGCUGGCAUCCCUCUAAAGAUGUGCCAAGCCGAACGCUGGAGGUCUUUUUUUUGAGCCCAGUUGCAUCUUCUCAUGCACAGAGGUAUUUGACACAUGGUCCAGAAUACUUUAAGCAGCAGGAGGGAAAUGGAGAACUUAUAGAGAUAUUAUGGAUGUUACAGAGAAAGAAAUGAGGAAGGUUCCUCCUUGGUACCACGUUUGCUCAGCUGUCCCUGUCCUGUUAUAGAUGAGUUCCAGGGAUCACUCUUGUAACAAGUACAGCUCUCCUGCAGUCUCCAACCACAGAGAGGAAAUCCCUCUGCUCCUCUGAAUUCCAUCAGACACACACAAAGCCCUGAAGCUCUAUUUGCAGAACAGCCAAUGAUUCACAGAAGCAAUAUGCACUUUUGGAAGACCUGUCAGGAAAAAAAGACCAAAAUCUUUAUUUUCAUCCAUUUCUUUCUAUGAACAAAUUCUGCUGGUUGCCUGGAGAGGUCAUGGAGUUUCUACCUUUGGAGAUAUUCAGAAGCCAUCUGUACACAUCCAGGGCAACUGGCUCUAAGUCACCCUGCUUGAUAUGGGGGGCUGGAGCAGAUGACUUCCAAAGAGACCUUUCAGCUUUGACCAUUCUGUGACUCUGUGAAUAAUAGGCAUAAUUUAAAUUUAAUUUAAACUAAAAGGUAAUGAUUGCUUUUUCCUCAGUUUAUGCUGGUUUGCAGUUUUUUACUGUAUUGAAAAUAUGUUCAACUUUCUCUUGCUUAUUUGUUGCAUUUUUGCUUCCCUACUUAGUUUUCUUAGAUAUCAUAUCUCAGAAUGCCACAAAAAUAAUUCUCUGAUGACAUUCUUGACCCAACUAAAAUUGUAGAACAUCUAGAAAUCUUUUUUUUUUUUUUUCUAUACUGCAGCAGCAUUUCAGGACCAAAAGGGCUGAGGAGUCUGGCCCAACUAUAUAGCAAAACUCCCCUGGAAAAUAGCUUAUUUCCCAAGCUGAUCACAGGAUGUGUUAACAGCUUCAACAGUAAUUCAGAUUCUCAAGGAAACUGACCUCAAGAUUAAAUAAAAAGUUUUGCAUUUCCUAAGUUGAGUGUUUUAAAUUACUACAAUACUUUGCAAUAUCUUAAAAUUUUGCAAGACUGCCUCUCAUUACCAACCGUUACCCUGCAAGUUUCACUGAAAAAAUCCUGAUUAAAGGACUUUGUUUUGUGGAAGUGUGACACUGACAAAAGCCUUGAAUUAUGGGCCCUGUGGUUUAAAGACUUUAUUUAGAUAAAUCCUGUUGCAAUGAAAAAUACCUACAAAAAAAGCAAAUAAUUUGCCCAAUCAUUGUAAUUCAGACUUUUUACAGAAAUGGGUACAAAUCAGAAGAGGUUCCCUUCUUAUGUUAAUUGGAGCCAACUUUUGAGCUGUACUCAUUCCAACUCUUAUUGCAGUCAGUGGCUCUACCUAAAAUGUAGUCAGUACAGAUUUUGCCCAUGGAGUGAUGAUAUUCAGCUACCUUUUAUGGCACAUUUUGAGGCACAGUAUUUUUGCUUGUUUUCUAACAUUAAUCUCCACUCAUCAAUAAAAUGAAUAAACACAAAAAGAAUGGAGAGACCUGGCAGCCAUUUCUAAAGGCAGUUAGUGAAACUAGGAGCUAAAAGCAAACCUUUGAUAAGAAACAAAACAUGCUGAUUUAAAAGAAUGUUUAAUAUAAUGGUAUAUUUCCUGUAAUUCAUAAUCCCUACUUCCUUGCAGCUAAAAUAUUUCUUUCUCUUUUUAAAUUGUCAUUCUCCCUUCUGAAAGAAGAUACCUUGUAUCAUUAUUUCCUUCUAAUUAAAAUCAGAAGCAGCCCAGAAUCAAGAGAUUUCUGCAAGAGUAAGAGAACAGAACACUACAGAAAGCUUUGGAUAUGGGAUCCAGAGGCUACCUCAAAUAACCUAAUUGUAGACCUUCAAAAUAAGAUUGUUUUUUAGGGUUAUAAUCAUGCAUGCAUCAUUUCUUCAAGCUGAGUAUUGCCAGCACUGAAGGUUUUUCAGACUGAAGCCAUUAGAAACAUUUUGUUUGUACCAAGAUAAUAAUGUCCCCUUAUUUGUCUUUUAAAUUUUUCAGUAGUCUAAAUUCCCUUAAAUCUCCUUAUCACAGUCUUAGUUCUGAUGGCUUUGGUGUUAGGGACAUAGGGUUCACAAAACUAAACUGCUUAGGCUGAUUUCCUGGUUUAAAUCCUACAGUUUAUCCACCCCAAAAAAGAUGAACUUGUUGCUUUUAACUACCACCACCCACUUCAACUGGGAGGGCACAGAGCAUUUCAUGGUGUUUUUUAGUUAGGCACAAUUCCCUUAAGGAAAGGCACAUUCCCCUGCACCAAAGAGGGCAGGAGUCUCACCUCCCCUUAGCGAUCAGAAAGAUAGGUGUUGGGUUUAGAAAGACAUGGAUACUUACAGAAUGAGUCAUCUGGCCUUAAAACAAGAUGAUUAAAAGCAGUAGUGUGACUAAUUCUCAGGAAGUGCCUAGCCUCAAGUAACCAUGGAGGGAAAACAGAUUGUUUUGGAGUAGCUCUCUAAGUUUCAGACAGCUUGAAUUUGGGAAAAUUGAACUCUCCAUAGCGCCUUUCUACUACGGGUGUCUUGCAGCACAGUGACAUAAGCAGACAGCUCCUAUCAGACAAGGAUCUGCAACUACAGAAAACAUUUUGGAGAUGCCUCUGCCUGAUGAAACCGGUGUUUGUUAGCAUCAUAGGGACUGACCAGCUCCUGAGUGUACAGCAAGCACAUUUGCAGAACCAUGGCAAAUUCUGCGUUAACUUGUGUAUCUGCUGUGCUGGAACACAUCUUAGAGAUAUAUUCUUGCUCCUUUAUCCAUCAAAAUGCUUAUUUAACUCAUAAUUAUAUUUAUUUGUAUUUUCAAAACACAAAUGGGGAAACUGAGUUUUAGGGAAGAAAAGUUUGCAUUUUUCUGCAUUUCAGUUAUUUUUAUGCCUUUCCAAAGCCUAUUUUAAUUAAUUAGGAUUAUCAUAUAUUUCCAAGGCAAGAAGAGAGAUCUAGCCUCUAACUCAGUGGACUUCAACAGAGCUAGGGGGAACCUGGCUGUCCAGAUCAAUUUUUUCGUAUGUUUGCCCAUGGAUUCAGCUUUUGCAGUUACAGGCUUUCAGAUACUAUACAGAUCUCCAGUGAUAUUGUUUCCUAUUGGCAGUAAUUUGCUCAAUUUCAAUGUUCUGAAUGUCUGAGCUCCUACAAAUAUACUGCAGGAGUCCUUAUUAGGUUUCUUUUGCUGUCAAGUAAAAUGCUUGAACUCAAUUAAUCUUGUUAAUUUAGUUUAUAACUAUAAUUUUACAUAUUUAUUGCAAUGGAUAAAUUCAGCAAUAACUCACAUAAACUUAAUAUUUUUCAAGAACAAUGUGUAUUUUCCUUUCCACUGAAAGACUGAACAACUAAAUAAAAAUCAAUUUCCAAA
ensembl:lncRNA